rnacentral:rRNA from 1 species
GCAUCGAUGAAAGAACGCAGCGAAAUGCGAUAAUUAAUGUGAAUUGCAGAAUUUCAGUGAAUCAUCGAGUCUUUGAACGCACAUUGCACCCCCUGGUAUUCCGGGGGGUAUGCCUGUCCGAGCGUCAUU